UGGUCAACUCAGUUCAUUAGACCGGAUUGGAGGCUUAGGUGCCCUCUUCAAACCAAUUAGGAGCUGUCUAGUGAUUUUAGGGCAAAUACAAGGAUUUGAUGUAUUUUUCUUUUACUGCAUGCUUGAUUGAUCAAGUAUUAGUUUAUGCAAGAGAGUCGUUCUAGAGUACGCGACCUAUUAUCCUUUGACCCUGAAAUAGAACGGACCCUUAGGAAUAUUCGAGCUGG
rnacentral:lncRNA from 1 species